rnacentral:rRNA from 1 species
CCUACGGGAGGCAGCAGUGGGGAAUAUUGGGCAAUGGGCGCAAGCCUGACCCAGCAACGCCGCGUGAAGGAAGAAGGCUUUCGGGUUGUAAACUUCUUUUUUCAGGGACGAAGCAAGUGACGGUACCUGAGGAAUAAGCCACGGCUAACUACGUGCCAGCAGUCGCGGUAAUACGUAGGUGGCAAGCGUUAUCCGGAUUUACUGGGUGUAAAGGGCGUGUAGGCGGGACUGCAAGUCAGAUGUGAAAACCACGGGCUCAACCUGUGGCCUGCAUUUGAAACUGUAGUUCUUGAGUACUGGAGAGGCAGACGGAAUGCCUGGUGUAGCGGUGAAAUGCGUAGAUAUUGGGAGGAACACCGGUGGCGAAGGCGGUCUGCUGGACAGCAACUGACGCUGAGGCGCGAAAGCGUGGGGAGCGAACAGGAUUAGAUACCCGGGUAGUC